rnacentral:rRNA from 1 species
AGUGAACGCUGGCGGUAGGCCUAACACAUGCAAGUCGAACGGCAGCACAGUAAGAGCUUGCUCUUACGGGUGGCGAGUGGCGGACGGGUGAGGAAUACAUCGGAAUCUACUUUUUCGUGGGGGAUAACGUAGGGAAACUUACGCUAAUACCGCAUACGACCUACGGGUGAAAGCAGGGGAUCUUCGGACCUUGCGCGAUUGAAUGGGCCGAUGUCGGAUUAGCUAGUUGGCGGGGUAAAGGCCCACCAAGGCGACGAUCCGUGGCUGGUCUGAGAGGAUGAUCAGCCACACUGGAACUGAGACACGGUCCAGACUCCUACGGGAGGCAGCAGUGGGGAAUAUUGGACAAUGGGCGCAAGCCUGAUCCAGCCAUACCGCGUGGGUGAAGAAGGCCUUCGGGUUGUAAAGCCCUUUUGUUGGGAAAGAAAAGCAGCAGGUUAAUACCCCGCUGUUCUGACGGUACCCAAAGAAUAAGCACCGGCUAACUUCGUG